UUAUUCAGGGAAACUUUUACUUUUAAAUGUGUUCUUAUGUUGAGGAUACAAUUAAGAACUAUUCUUGAACAGGGAAGAUUCCAUUGCUCAAUGCCUGAAAUAUGAUUUAAAGGCUGUAAGUGAUCUUACAGUUGCUCUUUUUUUUUAUAAAUUCAGUAACACUGGAUUCUUAUGACUUACUUGCACCUACAGCUCCCUAAAUAAUUUUCAGCAAGGUUUGAUCUGUAUUUCUGAUUCCAAAACCACUUCCAUUCAAGUAAUAUCAACACUACUACAUGUUCUUCAGCAGUGCACUUCAAAGCACGAUACAAACAUAAGUGUAAAUAUUUUCAUAGUACAGAGAGAGGAGAAAAGAGGGAAGUACCUUCUUGGCUGCACACUAGACGCCUCUCAAGGUGAUAGGCACAAGUCAGGUCCCCGUGCUCUGAAACUGGAGUACCAGGCUGUGAAACUUCCUUCUUGCUGAACUAGAGUUCUGUCUGGGCAGAGGGAGGGGCUGGAGCCAGGUGCAGAAUCCCGCUGUAAGGUUGUUCAAGUGACAUAGAUUCUCACUUGCAGUACUUGGCCACUUGAAUUUCAGUGUCUUGUAGAGCUAAGCUGUAUUUGUUUUCAGCAAGGCAGGGUUUUCCUCAGCCCUCAGCAGCAGUGUGGUGUGGAGAUCUCUUGAUUACACAAAUGUUUCCUGUUGUGACAUGCACAGGCUGGGCUCUGUUAGCAUUGCAGUUAAACAGUCAGGAGGUGCAGCUUCCUUAGCAAAUUUUGGAAUUUCUUCUCCAGGACAAACUUCUUGUUCCCAUCACAUGAAGAAAGAAAGGAAACAGCAGCACCUCCAUUGCAGUUCAAGGCAAUGAGCAGCUGAUCCUGAGUUAACCGUACGGCUGAAAGCCACGUGCAGAGAAAACAAACUUGAGGAAAAGGAACCCCAGCUUUGUUAUACCUGGAUUGAUUACAGAGCUCUACAACUCCUCAAGGUACAGUAUUCAUCACUACUGAUAGAGAUGGAUUAAUGUGGAUUCAUUAAGCUGCAGCCAACACAGUGACUUGAAUGUAAUGGUUUUACAUAAUGCCCUAAAUAGCAUGACUGGCGCAUUUGAAGUGACCCAAGAGAUUCCAACGUUUUUGGUAUCAGCUUUUCAUGAGCAGGUUUGGCAACAAAGUUGGCUUAGAAAGGUCGUGCCCCUAGUCACUGGUAUUUGCCUCUUCUGCGUGGUGUGCUGCCACUCCAGUGUGCCAGGAUGACGGGAGCAGCACUGUCAGCAGGGUAAUGGGAAUGUUCUGCAUUAAAACAAGUUGCGCCUGAAGAAUCUCAGAUCUGUCCUGCACCAGAAGUGGAUCUGGAAUGCCAUACUGCCAGGAAGCAAAGCUUUCCAGCAUUCUUUUUCUGACCAAAAAAAUGGUGGUGCACACGGUGAAGAGUUUACUUGCAGAAUUGAAGAGACAGAGGGAUGGAGCUGCCUUGGUACCUGUGACUGUGAGCAAUCAGGCUUUUGAAAGAAGCCCAGCAUGGUGGGGUUUUCCAUGAGAUUGGUCCAUGGUACAGCACACAAGAGCCAGCCAGAGAGCUGUUCUCCACAACGAUUGCAGUCAGGCUGCUGGCCAGGGUUUAUAUCCACCACACAGCUGGGCUGCAGGCAUUUCUGGAUCAUAGCCAAGUAUUUUGUGUCCUACCAUUCUUGGCUGCCCUUUUAUAUUUUCUUCAUAUCAGAUCCCAGCAUACAAGGAACUUGGAGCAGAUUUUUAGGUGGCUGCUGGAAACCCAUUUAUCACAUUAUUCCCCACAUGGUGGCAUUGCUUGCAAAAAGUAUCCACGGAUUCCAAGUGUGUGAUGUUUUGUUCUCAGGUGCUUUAGCCAGAGUUCUCCUGCCUCGAGGGAGCAGGCAUGCCUUCUCCUCUUCACUUACUCUGAGAUUGAAUGCUCUUCCAAAUCAGAUGGACCAUGAAGGUCUCUGAGACCAGCAGCCAGGCUCAGGGGCCCUCAGGGAAGCUGUGUAGGAAUAUGCAGAAAGCAACUACUAGAAAGGCUCUACUGACUCUCCUUCUGUCAUCAGUGGUGUGGACCAGGUGUCAAAGGAGCGGUCACAUUGCUCUGGAGCCACCAUGGAGUGACAGAGGUCAGGCAGGCACAAAUGCAGGCUGCUCCAUGACCAUCCCUGAAAGGAUGCACUGACUGAAGAAAGCCAAGGAAUCUGGAAAGCCUCUGUAUGAGAUGUCUAAUGAACGCAUCUCAUCAAGAGGAAGUAUUGGGAGCUGAUAUAAAAUGCAGACACUGAAAGCAAGAGAUGAAAUCUCACGACUUUGUGUGAACCCACUCUUGUGAUGGAGGACAACUCCUGACUUUGGUUUUCACUGCAGUAAUGUGAUGUGCUCCUGUGGCAGCAUGAGUGGCUCUGGAUUAAACCUGGUACAUCUUGAGGAAGCCAGAUUUGAUAAGGAUUGCUUCCCCUGGCUUUUCAAAGUGGGAAAUUUAGGUUUUACUGUUUCCACAUGUAGAAAUGUGCUUCAUGGAGUUGUCACCAUUAUGCAAUGCACUUGGAUUUUGCUGCCACUUUGACUUUUUCCCCUGUGCUCACAAAUGAGGUCUCCAUGGAAAGCUAUUAGGCACCUUGCAUCUUCCACUGGAGCAGACACCACAUAUUAGUUCAGAAGUGUUAUCUUUGUUCCCUCACUUAUGCCAAGCACAUUAAUCUUGAUGCAAAACAAAUUAAAAUGUUGUCAUCUAUACUGGGACAGUUGCAGGGCAGGCAGUGUCUGUGUAAUGUACAUAGACACCACUGUUUAGGGUGUGCUUUGUUACCUGGAAUAAAUUAGUUGCAGUUUCUUGAUCUACAGUAUGGGAUCCAGCUGUUGUGUAACUCUGGAAGAACCUUCUGUGGUUACACAACAUUGCUUGGUAUCACCCCCAUCUUUGAUCCAACUGUGCAAUCAAAGCUGUGCUGCGAGCACAAGUGCAUUUGUACACCACACAUCCCUCUUCCCACCCGCCUGUGUGCAGACAAACACAUCAAACACCACUUGCUUGUUGGGGCAAACAGGGAACAAUCCUCUUUUUCCUGUAGACUGUGAGGGAAUUGAGGUCAGAAGCUGAAGCAGGUUCAUGACAAUGAUGAUUUUGAUUUGAACUGCACUCGUGGAUGCUGUUUCACUCACAGGAAAAGCAACCUACCCUUGCCCCAAAGCACCAAACGGCCACACGUCCUCUGCCCAAAA